UACGUAGGGGGCAAGCGUUGUCCGGGAUUUAUUGGGCGUAAAGAGCGUGUAGGCGGCUAGGGUAGGUCCGUUUGUGAAAACUCGAGGCUCAACCUCGAGACGUCGAUGGAAACCAUCUAGCUAGAGUCCGGGAAGAGGAGAGUGGAAUCCUGGUGUAGCGGUGAAAUGCGCAGAUAUCGGGAGGAACACCAAUUGCGAAGGCAGCUGCUGGGACGAUACUGACGCUGAGGCGCGAAAGCGUGGGGAGCAACAGG
rnacentral:rRNA from 1 species